GAAGAUAGUAUAUAUGGUUAUAUUAUACGAUUGCAAAUCGUACUAUUAGGGUUCAAUUCCCUCUAUCUUCU